rnacentral:lncRNA from 1 species
AUACUCCAUUUUAAACAUCUAACUCUUCUGAUGCUUUCUUAUGAGUUGGGACUACUCCAACGAUGAAAUGCACAAUCUGUAGUGCAUCCAGCAGCAGCGCUAAGCAGAGGACCACAUAUGGUCUGUUACAACUGAGUUCCUAUAGCAGAAAAGUAGCCGCAGACAGCAUAUACACAUAAGUGUGGCUGCACUCCAGUAAGUCUUUAUUUACAUACACUGAAAUGUGAAUUCUCUAUCAUUUUCAUGUGCUGUACUUUCUCCCCAACCACUUCAAGAAAUAGGCUUUGCUGCAUUAAAGUGAGAUUUUAGAAUUCAUAUUAGCAGUCUCAUACCACAAUCAGCCAGGGCUACAAUUUCCAGUCACAGUGACCAGUUGCCUUGGCUUUGGCCACACUGUAUUCCAAACGAUAGUAAUGGAAAAACCCGUUCUGAACUUGUGUCAACUUCAUUCAUUCGCCAUUCAAAGGCCAUUUCUGUGGCAUCUAUUCACUCGACACUCCAUCUUAUGGCCAAUACACAGCUUGUGAAAUGUCGGACUCCAACCAAAACUUGUCUGUGGACUAAUUCUUUUUUUCCUUUAUAGCUUUUUGUCUGAUUAUAUAUAAUAGCAACAAAAACCUCAUUAAUUUUUAAAAAUUAAGAAAGCGAAAAAUGGCUGGCCUGGUGGCUCAUGCUAGUAAUCCCAGCACUUUAGGAGGCUGAGGCAAGAGGAUCGUUUGACCCCAGGAAUUCAAGAACACUGUGGGCAACAUAGCAAGACCCGUUUCAAUGAAAAAAACAAAAAAGAAACAGGGAAAAACCUAAUUAGAUAACUGAAUUAAUUUUGAUAUAUACUUUUCCAUUAAAAAAAAGUUUUUUUUACAAAAAAUGUCUAUAGCUGGCUGGGGGUGGUGGCUGUUCAGGAAGGGAGAAAUACUCAGUUCAUCUUGCCAUGUACAUGUAUGUGUUUGAAUGCACAUGCCCCUUAAGAUCAAACACAACAGACUUAUGUCUUCACAUGGAGAACCUUGUCUGACGCUUUCCCAGGGGAAACCAGAUGUCCAGAUCCACGAAGCUCAGAGAUGGUUCAAAUAGGGCAUUAUUUAACAAAUACAUACUAAAUCUUCUAUGUGCCAGGAACCAUUCUAGAGAUCUAAUCUGCUUUUUGCAUGUACUUAAAACCAACUCUAUUUUGCAUCAGAACACCUAGCCCUGUAUCGUAUUAAAGACUUAAGAAAUGCUAGAUGAAAGAAUGCUUAGUGGCAAUGAAUUAAAAAAAAAUCUUUUUUAAGAGAGUGAUAAUGAAUUUUUUUUGGUUUGUUUUUUGAGACGGAGUUUCGCUCUUGUUGCCCAGCCUGGAGUGCAAUGGUGCGAUCUUGGCUCACUGCAACUUCCACCUCCUGGGUUCAACUAAUUCUCCUGCCUCCACCUCCUGAGUAGCUGGGAUUAUAGGCAUGCGCCACCACGGCCGGCUAAUUUUGUAUUUUUAGUAGAGACGGGGUUUCUCCAUGUUGGUCAGGCCGGGAUUACAGGCGUGAGACACCACACCCAGCUUUUUUUUUUUUAAGAGACAGGGUCUUGCUUUGUCGCUCUGGCUGGAGUGCAAUGGUGCAACCAUAGGUCACUGUAGCCUCAAACUCCUAGGUUCAGUGAUCCUUUUGCCUCAGUAUCCUAAGUAGGUGGGACUAUAGGCAUGUGUCACCAUGCCCACCUCAUUUUUUUUUUUUUUUUUGAGACAGAGUCUCCUCUGUCACCAGGCUGGAGUGCAGUGGCGUGAUCUUGGCCCACUGCAACCUCCGCCUCCCGGGUUCACGCGAUUCUCCUGCCUCAGCCUCCCAAGCAGCUGGGACUACAGGUACCUGCCACCACGCCCAUUUAAUUUUUGUAUUUUUAGUAGAGAUGGGGUUUCACCAUGUUGGCCAGGAUGGUCUUGAUAUCUUGACCUCAUGAUCCACCCGCCUCGGCCUCCCAAAAUACUGGGAUUACAGAAGCAAGCUACCGUGCCUGGCUUCAUUUUUAAAAUUUUUUUGUAGAAAGAGGCUCUCAUCAUGUUGCCCAGGCUGGUCUCCAACUCCUAGCCUUAAGUGAUCCUCCUGCCUCAGCCUCCCAAAGUGCUGGGAUUACAGGCACAAGCUACUACAUCUGAUGGCAAUGUUUUUAAUGAGUCUGAAUUCGUUAAUGAAGGGGAAAAUUUAUUAUUUUUUUU